rnacentral:rRNA from 1 species
UGCCCCAUAGUCUGGGAUACCACUUGGAAACAGGUGCUAAUACCGGAUAAGAAAGCGGAUCGCAUGAUCAGCUUUUAAAAGGCGGCGUAAGCUGUCGCUAUGGGAUGGCCCCGCGGUGCAUUAGCUAGUUGGUAAGGUAAAGGCUUACCAAGGCGAUGAUGCAUAGCCGAGUUGAGAGACUGAUCGGCCACAUUGGGACUGAGACACGGCCCAAACUCCUACGGGAGGCAGCAGUU